CUACGGGCGGCAGCAGUAAGGAAUAUUGCGCAAUGGAGGCAACUCUGACGCAGCCAUGCCGCGUGCAGGAAGAAGGCCUUAUGGGUCGUAAACUGCUUUUAUUUAGGAAUAAACCCCCGAACGUGUUCGGGGCUGAAGGUACUAAACGAAUAAGCACCGGCUAACUCCGUGCCAGCAGCCGCGGUAAUACGGAGGGUGCAAGCGUUAUCCGGAUUUAUUGGGUUUAAAGGGUGCGCAGGCGGGCUAUUAAGUCAGUGGUGAAAUCCCGGGGCUCAGCUCCGGAACUGCCAUUGAUACUGAUAGUCUUGAGUUUGGUCGAAGUGGGCGGAAUGUAGCAUGUAGCGGUGAAAUGCAUAGAUAUGCUACAGAACACCAAUCGCGAAGGCAGCUCACUAAGCCAAAACUGACGCUCAUGCACGAAAGCGUGGGGAUCAAACAGGAUUAGAUACCCCAGUAGUC
rnacentral:rRNA from 1 species